GCCGGUGUAGCUCAGUUGGUAGAGCAACGCAUUCGUAAUGCGUGGGUCGGGAGUUCGAAUCUCUUCACCGGCACCA
rnacentral:tRNA from 1 species